AAUGUUUGUGUUCUGAUAUCAGAAAUGUUAGUGAUAAAUUUUGACACUAUUUUAACACCAGCACUAAGUAAAUAUUUAAAUUUAUCCAUGUCAGACAUGUUAUCAAAAUUACAGUUAUAUCUCUGUUGACAGUCCAUAAACAUGCGAUUUCUCUGUAACGAAUAGGUAGGACAAUGUAAUAAAAAGUGUUUUUCGUCUUCUACGCUUCCAGUUCUGCAAACUUUACAAAGUCGUCUAUCAGCUGGGACUCCCCGGUAACGCCCUUUCUCGAUUUCAAGGGGGAAAACACCACAUCUCAGUCUUGCAAUUGCUGAUCUUUCAUGGCGUGAAAUACCUGAUUUUAGGUACGGUUGAACACUGUAUGUGGUGUUCAAGUCUCUAUACGUGCGGAGUUUUGGCAUAGCUUCUACGGCUUUUCCCAUGUGAUCUGGUACUUUUGCAUUAGCAUGUCUUUUGCAAAAUUACUAAUAAACUUGGUACUAAGUCCAUCCGUACAUUUCGAGUUAAAUAUAGAGUAUCAAGUCCAUUUUCAUUCAUAAUUGAUUUUAUAUUGUUGUACCACGUAUCCUUAUGAUUUCGUGAAAAACUACAGUCCCAUGCAUAUAUCCGCGAUGGUAAUCUUUCCGAGUGCAUAUUUACAAUACGACACCAAAGCUUUAUCAUCUGACAAUGAUUUCGGAUAGAGACUGGAAUCCAUGCCAUUUCACCUGUCAUUCCCGGUAUCGGUGUAAACUUUCCGACUCCUAAGAAAGACCGUAUAGCCCUAUUUUGCAGUUUGUCUAGUCCUUCAUACGCUUUAAACCCCCAUACUCCAGCACAGUAGGUCAUAAUUGGGGCGACUGUACUUUCAAAAAGUUUAGUAUACGUGUCAUAAUCAAAUCCAUCUGUACUGUAAUAUUUCGAAACAAGGGAACCCAAAGCACGACUGCUACCAGUAAUCAACUCAUUUACACUGAUGUUGUAGUCUAAUGUUUCUGACACUGUAAGACCUAGAUAGCGGUACUGUGAAGUAUAGUCAACUAUUUUGUCGCCAAUUUUAAACACAAAUUCGCUUCGUGCAACUGUAGCUUUCCUUACGUGUAGUACUUUAGUUUUGUCAAUAUUCACUUUUAAGCGCC
rnacentral:lncRNA from 1 species